GACGAACGCUGGCGGCGUGCUUAACACAUGCCAGUCGAACGGAAAGGCCCUGCUUUUGUGGGGUGCUCGAGUGGCGAACGGGUGAGUAACACGCGAGUAACCUGCCCUUGACUUUGGGAUAACUUCAGGAAACUGGGGCUAAUACCGGAUAGGAGCUCCUGCUGCAUGGUGGGGGUUGGAAAGUUUCGGCGGUUGGGGAUGGACUCGCGGCUUAUCAGCUUGUUGGUGGGGUAGUGGCUUACCAAGGCUUUGACGGGUAGCCGGCCUGAGAGGGUGACCGGCCACAUUGGGACUGAGAUACGGCCCAGACUCCUACGGGAGGCAGCAGUGGGGAAUAUUGCACAAUGGGCGGAAGCCUGAUGCAGCAACGCCGCGUGCGGGAUAACGGCCUUCGGGUUGUAAACCGCUUUCGCCUGUGACGAAGCGUGAGUGACGGUAAUGGGUAAAGAAGCACCGGCUAACUACGUG
rnacentral:rRNA from 1 species